rnacentral:rRNA from 1 species
CGAAAGCCUGACGGAGCAAUACCGCGUGAGGGAGGAAGGCUCUUGGGUCGUAAACCUCUUUUGUCAGGGAAGAACACAAUGACGGUACCUGACGAAUCAGCAUCGGCUAACUCCGUGCCAGCAGCCGCGGUAAUACGGAGGAUGCAAGCGUUAUCCGGAAUUAUUGGGCGUAAAGCGUCCGCAGGCGGCUAAUCAAGUCUGCUGUUAAAGGCCGAGGCUUAACUUCGGUUGAGCAGUGGAAACUGAUUAGCUAGAGUGCGAUAGGGGUAGAGGGAAUUCCCAGUGUAGCGGUGAAAUGCGUAGAUAUUGGGAAGAACACCAGUGGCGAAGGCGCUCUACUGGGUCGCAACUGACGCUGAGGGACGAAAGCUAGGGGAGCG